rnacentral:rRNA from 1 species
GCUAAUCGCUGAAAGCCGGUCGUAGUUCGGAUUGGGGUCUGCAACUCGACCCCAUGAAGUCGGAGUCGCUAGUAAUCGCAGAUCAGCAACGCUGCGGUGAAUACGUUCCCGGGGCUUGUACACACCGCCCGUCACGUCACGAAAGUCGGUAACACCCGAAGCCGAUGGCCCAACCACUUGUGGAGGGAGUCGUCGAAGGUGGGACUGGCGAUUGGGACGAAGUCGUAACAAGGUAGCCGUACCGGGGUGCGGCUGGAUCAC